CUACGGGCGGCAGCAGUGAGGAAUAUUGCACAAUGGAGGAAACUCUGAUGCAGCAACGCCGCGUGGGGGAUGACGCAUCUCGGUGUGUAAACUCCUUUUAUGAGUCAAGAAAAUGACGGUAGCUCAUGAAUAAGCACCGGCUAACUCCGUGCCAGCAGCCGCGGUAAUACGGAGGGUGCAAGCGUUACUCGGAAUCACUGGGCGUAAAGGACGCGUAGGCGGGAUAUCAAGUCAGGUGUGAAAUCCUACAGCUUAACUGUAGAACUGCACUUGAAACUGGUAACCUAGAGUAUGGGAGGGGGAGAUGGAAUUAGUGGUGUAGGGGUAAAAUCCGUAGAUAUCACUAGGAAUACCUAAAGCGAAGGCGAUCUCCUGGAACAUUACUGACGCUAAGGCGUGAAAGCGUGGGGAGCAAACAGGAUUAGAUACCCGGGUAGUC
rnacentral:rRNA from 1 species